ACCAACACGUUUUGGGCACAUUAGUUAUGGGUCUCAUCAGAACUCCAUUGUUAAUCGUGUUUGGAUGGAAGUAGUACUAGGAUAGGUAACCUCCUGUGAAGUCUCCAC
rnacentral:rRNA from 2 species